UACAGAGGUGGCAAGCGUUGUUCGGAAUUACUGGGCGUAAAGGGCGCGUAGGUGGCCUUCUUAGUCAGACGUGAAAUCCCCGGGCUUAACUCGGGAACUGCGUCUGAUACUGGAUGGCUUGGAUUCGGGAGAGGAAUGCGGAAUUCCAGGUGUAGCGGUGAAAUGCGUAGAUAUCUGGAGGAACACCGGUGGCGAAGGCGGCAUUCUGGACCGACAUUGACGCUGAGGAGCGAAAGCCAGGGGAGCAAACGGG
rnacentral:rRNA from 1 species